AGAUGUGGCAUAAGGACACUGCCAAAAGCAAUCUUCUGCUGAUCCUGAGAAGAUUAUUAUGUCAACUGGUGAGCUUCCUGGACUUAGUCUGGACUACGGAUGUAGCGCAAAAAAUCACACAGCAAGGAAUAUCAGCAUGUUGAAGCAAGAUAUUUUGCUCUUUCUGCCUGCUGGAAAGAAAAACAACACAACUUCGGAACAGACUGGACUUCUUUUUGCUGUUCCCAGACAUUGCUGUCUUUUCGCUGUGGUGUUUGCUAU
ensembl:lncRNA